rnacentral:rRNA from 1 species
AUUGAACGCUGGCGGCAUGCCUUACACAUGCAAGUCGAACGGCAGCAUGGAGAGCUUGCUCUCCGAUGGCGAGUGGCGAACGGGUGAGUAAUAUAUCGGAACGUGCCCAGUCGUGGGGGAUAACGUAGUGAAAAUUACGCUAAUACCGCAUACGAUCUAAGGAUGAAAGCGGGGGAUCGCAAGACCUCGCGCGAUUGGAGCGGCCGAUAUCAGAUUAGGUAGUUGGUAGGGUAAAGGCCUACCAAGCCAACGAUCUGUAGCUGGUCUGAGAGGACGACCAGCCACACUGGAACUGAGACACGGUCCAGACUCCUACGGGAGGCAGCAGUGGGGAAUUUUGGACAAUGGGCGAAAGCCUGAUCCAGCCAUUCCGCGUGCAGGAUGAAGGCCCUCGGGUUGUAAACUGCUUUUGUACAGAACGAAAAGGUCUCUAUUAAUACUAGGGGCUCAUGACGGUACUGUAAGAAUAAGCACCGGCUAACUACGUGCCAGCAGCCGCCGUAA